rnacentral:rRNA from 1 species
UACGUAGGGUGCGAGCGUUGUCCGGAAUUAUUGGGCGUAAAGGGCUCGUAGGCGGUCUGUCACGUCGGGAGUGAAAACUCGGGGCUCAACCCCGAGCCUGCUUCCGAUACGGGCAGACUAGAGGUAUGCAGGGGAGAAUGGAAUUCCUGGUGUAGCGGUGAAAUGCGCAGAUAUCAGGAGGAACACCGGUGGCGAAGGCGGUUCUCUGGGACGGUACUGACGCUGAGACGCGAAAGCGUGGGGAGCGAACAGG